UGAGUAACACGUAUCCAACCUGCCGUCUACUCUUGGACAGCCUUCUGAAAGGAAGAUUAAUACAAGAUGGCAUCAUGAGUCCGCAUGUUCACAUGAUUAAAGGUAUUCCGGUAGACGAUGGGGAUGCGUUCCAUUAGCCAGUUGGCGGGGUAACGGCCCACCAAAGCGACGAUGGAUAGGGGUUCUGAGAGGAAGGUCCCCCACAUUGGAACUGAGACACGGUCCAA
rnacentral:rRNA from 1 species